GUCCCCCCACAGCCCAGAGCUGGGACAGCUCAGGGUCAGGCCAGCCUUCAGCGAUGGGCCGGCUGAGCCUAGAGCAGCUGCUGUCUGAUGGAGCAGGAACAAACAUCUCAACGUCCUCCUAAUAGUGAACAUCUGGAUGAAGUCCUUGGCAGAGUAGCAGCCUUUCUGUAGGACGAUGUCCCCCGUCACCUCGGAGCACUGACCAAUCAGGACCAGGAGUUUGUGACGAGAAACAUCUGCCACAAAGCUGCGGACCUACAGAGAGAACCAACAUAAUAAACAUGAUCUAUCAUAUCUCAUGAUCCAUCAUAUCUCUGUUAUAUCAUAUCUCUAUAAUAAACAUUAUCCUAUCAUAUCUUUGUUAUAUCAUAUCUCUAUAAUAAACAUGAUCCAUCAUA